rnacentral:rRNA from 1 species
AUUGAACGCUGGCGGCAUGCCUUACACAUGCAAGUCGAACGGUAACGGGCCUUCGGGUGCCGACGAGUGGCGGACGGGUGAGUAAUGUAUCGGAACGUACCUUUCAGUGGGGGAUAACGUAGCGAAAGUUACGCUAAUACCGCAUAUUCUGUGCGCAGGAAAGCAGGGGAUCGCAAGACCUUGCGCUGAUUGAGCGGCCGAUAUCAGAUUAGCUAGUUGGUGAGGUAAAGGCUCACCAAGGCGACGAUCUGUAGCGGGUCUGAGAGGAUGAUCCGCCACACUGGAACUGAGACACGGUCCAGACUCCUACGGGAGGCAGCAGUGGGGAAUUUUGGACAAUGGGGGCAACCCUGAUCCAGCCAUGCCGCGUGAGUGAAGAAGGCCUUCGGGUUGUAAAGCUCUUUCGGCCGGGAAGAAAUCGUAUCAGCUAAUACCUGGUGCGGAUGACGGUACCGGCAUAAGAAGCACCGGCUAACUACGUGCCAGCCGCCGCCGUAACAC